CCCUUAGAUGUCCUGGGCCGCACGCGCGCUACACUGAUGCAUGCAACGAGUUUAUACCUUGGCCUGAAAGGUCUGGGUAAUCUUUUGAACGUGCAUCGUGAUAGGGAUAGAUUAUUGCAAUUGUUAAUCUUGAACGAGGAAUUCCUAGUAAACGCGAGUCAUCAGCUCGCAUUGAUUACGUCCCUGCCCUUUGUACACACCGCCCGUCGCACCUACCGAUUGAAUGGUUCGGUGAAGAUCUCGGACUUCGAUAUUUAUUCUUUAUUGAGUUUAUAUUGUGGGAAGUUAUCUAAACCUCAUCAUUUAGAGGAAGGUGAAGUCGUAACA
rnacentral:rRNA from 1 species